GGGAUUGCCCUAGUAACGGCGAGUGAAGCGGCAACAGCUCAAAUUUGAAAUCUGGCUCUUUCAGAGUCCGAGUUGUAAUUUGCAGAGGGCGCUUUGGCGUUGGCAGCGGUCCAAGUUCUUUGGAACAGGACGUCACAGAGGGUGAGAAUCCCGUACGUGGUCGCUAGACUUCGCCGUGUAAAGCCCCUUCGACGAGUCGAGUUGUUUGGGAAUGCAGCUCUAAAUGGGAGGUAAAUUUCUUCUAAAGCUAAAUACUGGCCAGAGACCGAUAGCGCACAAGUAGAGUGAUCGAAAGAUGAAAAGCACUUUGGAAAGAGAGUCAAAUAGCACGUGAAAUUGUUGAAAGGGAAGCGCUUGCAGCCAGACUUGCCUGUAGUUGCUUAUCCAGACUUUUGUCUGGUGCACUCUUCUAUAGGCAGGCCAGCAUCAGUUUGGGCGGUUGGAUAAAGGUCUCUAUCACGUACCUCUCUUCGGGGAGGCCUUAUAGGGGAGACGACAUACAACCAGCCUGGACUGAGGUCCGCGCAUCUGCUAGGAUGCUGGCGUAAUGGCUGUAAGCGGCCCGUCUUGAAACACGGACCAAGGAGUCUAACAUCUAUGCGAGUGUUUGGGUGUCAAGCCCAUACGCGUAAUGAAAGUGAACGGAGGUGGGAACCUUUUAGGUGCACCAUCGACCGAUCCUGAUGUCUUCGGAUGGAUUUGAGUAAGAGCAUGGCUGUUGGGACCCGAAAGAUGGUGAACUAUGCUUGAAUAGGGUGAAGCCAGAGGAAACUCUGGUGGAGGCUCGCAGCGGUUCUGACGUGCAAAUCGAUCGUCAAAUUUGGGCAUAGGGGCGAAAGA
rnacentral:rRNA from 1 species